GUGGGGAAUCUUCCACAAUGGACGAAAGUCUGAUGGAGCAACGCCGCGUGAGUGAAGAAGGGUUUCGGCUCGUAAAGCUCUGUUGUCGGGGACGAAUGUGCAGUAUUUGAAUAAAGUACUGCAAUGACGGUACCUGACGAGGAAGCCACGGCUAACUACGUGCCAGCAGCCGCGGUAAUACGUAGGUGGCAAGCGUUGUCCGGAAUUAUUGGGCGUAAAGGGAGCGCAGGCGGGAAGGUAAGUCGGUCUUAAAAGUGCGGGGCUCAACCCCGUGGUGGGAUCGAAACUAUCGUGCUUGAGUGCAGGAGAGGAGAGUGGAAUUCCUAGUGUAGCGGUGAAAUGCGUAGAUAUUAGGAGGAACACCAGUGGCGAAGGCGACUUUCUGGACUGUAACUGACGUUGAGGCUCGAAAGCGUGGGGAGCAAACAGGAUUAGAAACCCCUGUAGUCC
rnacentral:rRNA from 1 species